CAUAAAUGCAAACCUUUUAAAGGUGACCUGUAAAGGACUGCUGAUAAAAGAAGCUGGGAAGUAGUUUCUUUUGUGUUUGUUUUCAUUUCCUUUGGGUAUAGGCUGCUUCUCCUCUGUGCCCUCUGAAUGUUGCCAGGGAACAAAUCCUGCUCACCUACCUGGUGCAAACAAUUUCAUUGAUAGAAGGUAGCUGCUGACAAAAGGUGAUCAGGAUUCAGCUGGACUCAGGGGACCAGAGUUGCGGUUAUGUGGGCAACUUUAGCUUUGGCAUUUCCAGAGCAAGAAAAAUAACAUUGCUACUGAGGGAUGGUGUACAGUGAAUUGCUGACACUCAACACUGUGCAGGAGAGGGGGCGGAAGGCUUUGCCAAUCGAUGCGGUGGCUAUUUGCUGGUAGCAGACAAAUCCUGAAACUCAAGGACCUGAGAAGCUAUUCCAGGUAUAGAUUGGUACCUGGACUUUGGCUCUCGCUCUCCAGAGGGAUUUUACAUUCUGCAACAACGCUCCUGCAUGUUUGCUUUUCUCCUUGUUGGGUCUUUUGAUGUAAGUAGGUGUAACUGACUGCCGAAGAAACGCAAGGACAAAGGUGCCAGAAGUCUUUCCCUGAGACAGCGAUGAUCAAAAAAAAUGUGGUGCUUUAAAUAGGCCUGAAUUUCCUGAAAAUACACUACCAAGAUUAAUUUUCACUACACGCAUGUGAAGUUUUCAAUUACGGUCAAGGUAGCAAUUUGCACACACUUUAAAAUUGGGUCUGGAACUGAUAAACAUAUGCUAAAUAUACAAAUUAACAUAAGACAGCUGAACA